rnacentral:lncRNA from 1 species
CUCCUAAGCAUGUGUUUACCAAAGGCCUUAUUUUGGUGGAGUUAGUGCCUACAAAAAGACGCCAUUACUAUUUCUCUCACUUGUGGUAUUACAGAAAACACGCACUUUGUGUGCCACAUAGAGAUGGAGGACACAUCUUUAUAACUAUGCAUUAUAGUGGCUGUGACAACAUGGGCAGCGCCAUUGAGGGUACAACCCAUAGGAAUUCCCACCCAGUUUCCUACUUUAAAAUGGUGGAUGAUGGCAAUGUCCAAUAGCAAUGGUCAUGCUAAAAUGGGUUAUAUCCAUGAUGAGUCCUCGAUGUAUCUUUAUGGUGUGACUUGUAACUAGUGGCGACCGCAUGCAGUAAAGUGGACAUUCGUGCCUAUGGAAAACUCGAGAUUGCCACGGCGAGAUAAAGUGGAUUAAUUUGCUAUUUAUUUGCAGCGUCAACAGGUGUCUCCAGGUGCGAUGUCCAAGAGUACAUCUUCAAAUAACUUUUGUAUCAUAUUGUUGAUACUGUUAACACAAAUUCCCUGCAUCUUACAAGGCCUUGACAUGCAUUUGGCUAUGCCAUCUUUUGAAGUAUCUUGCAGAAAUGAAAAAGAAGACAUCUGCAAUUCCAUCACAUCCUGUGGAUGGAAUGGUUUCCUGAAACAAGUGCAAAUUAUUUGCUCUAAAGUUGAGAACGGUGAGUUCCAAUGCAUGCAUGACGUAACGGAACCUUCGAAGCAAGAAUCAUAUGAAAAACUCAUGGAUAAUUUUUGCAAAAACAACCUCGAAUGUGGAUUCAGGGCCUCUGCUAUUAAUAACAGUGCUUUAAAAUGCACCAUAAAGAUUAAACAAGCAGUGUCGACACAGCGCACAGUACAAUCAAAUGUGUCAGCAGUGAAAGUGGAUGAACCCAGAAAUGAAACAUCUGGAAACGACGCAAUUUCCAACUGGUCGUGGAUUUUCCCUUGCAUUUGCAUUGCCAUUAUUAUCAUUGGAUUUUUCAUUGGAUUUUACAUUGGAUUUUGUAUUGAUUGUACUUGUCUGGUAUGUGUUCUUUGUACUUUGUCAGAGAUACAGUAUAUUUUCAGGAUUCUCAACAUUUCUGUGAAUGUACAGUUGAAGUCAGAAGUUUACAUACACCUUAGCCAAAUACAUUUAAACUCAGUUUUUCACAAUUUCUGACAUUUAAUCCCAGUAAGAAUUCCCCGUUUUAGGUCAGUUAGGAUCACCACUUUAUUUUAAUAAUGUGAAGUGUCAGAAUAAUAGUAGAGGGAAUUGUUUAUUUCAGCUUUUAUUUCUUUCAUCACAUUCCCAGUGGGUCAGAAGUUUACAUACACUCAAUUAGUAUUUGGUAGCAUUGCCUUUAAAUUGUUUAACUUGGGUGAAAUGUUUUGGGUGGCCUUCCACAAGCUUCCCACAAUAAAUUGGGUGAAUUUUGGUCCAUUCCUCUUGACAGAGCUAGUGUAACUGAGUAAGGUUUGUAGGCCUCCUUGCUCGCGCACGCUUUUUCAGUUCUGCCCACAGAUUUUCUAUAGGUUUGAGGUCAGGGCUUUGUGAUGGCCACUCCAAUACCUUGACUUUGUUGUCCUUAAGCCAUUUUGCCACAACUUUGGAAGUAUGCUUGGGGUCAUUGUCCAUUUGGAAGACCCAUUUGCGACCAAGCUUUAACUUCCUGACUGAUGUCUUGAGAUGUUGCUUCAAUAUAUCCACAUAAUUUUCCCCCCUCAUGACGUUAUCUAUUUUGUGAAGUGCACCAGUCCCUCCUGCAGCAAAGCAUCCCCACAACAUGAUGCUGCCACUCCCGUGCCUCACGGUUGGAAUGGUGUUUUUCGGCUUGCAAGCCUCCCCCUUUUUCCUCCAAACAUAACGAUGGUCAUUAUGGCCAAACAGUUACAUUUUGUUUCAUCAGACCAGAGGACAUUUCUCCAGAAAGUACGAUCUUUGUCCCCAUGUGCAGUUGCAAACCGUGGUCUGGCUUUUUUAUGGCGGUUUUGGAGCAAUGGCUUCUUCCUUGCUGAGCAGCCUUUCAGGUUAUGUCGAUAUAGGACUCGUUUUACUGUGGAUAUAGAUACUUUUGUACCUGUUUCCUCCAGCAUCUUCACAAGGUCCUUUGCUGUUCUGGAAUUUAUUUUCACUUUUCGCACAAAUGUACUUUCAUCUCUAGGAGACAGAACGCGUCUCCUUCCUGAGCGGUAUGACGGCUGCGUGGUCCCAUGGUUAUACUUGCGUACUAUUGUUUGUACAGAUGAACGUGGUACCUUCAGGCGUUUGGAAAUUGCUCCAAAGGAUGAACCUGACUUGCGGAGGUCUACAAUUUUUUUUUUUUAGGUCUUGGCUGAUUUAUUUUGAUAUUCCUAUGAUGUCAAGCAAUGCGGUGCUGAAUUUGAAGAUAGGCCUUGAAAUACAUCCACAGGUACACCUCCAAUUGACAAAAAUGAUGUCAAUUAGCUUCUAAAGCCAUGACGUCAUUUUCUGGAAUUUUCCAAGCUGUUUAAAGGCACAGUCAACUUAGUGUAUGUAAACGUCUGACCCACUGGAAUUGUGAUACAGUGAAUUCUAAGUGAAAUGAUCUCUCUGUAAACAAUUGUUGGAAAAAUGACUUGUGUUAUGCACAAAGUAGAUUUCCUUACCGACUUGCCAAAACUAUAGUUUGUUAACAAGACAUUUGAGGAGUGGUUGAAAAAUGAGUUUUACUGACUCCAACCUAAGUGUAUGUAAACUUCUGACUUCAGCUGUAAAUAUAUGAAAACAAUAGAACUGGAAGUUGAAAAAUCAUAUGUGUGAUGUGCUGUAUCUUAUUCAAUUGUCUAUAUUUUAUAGGAGCGAAAAGGGUGGUGUCGCCGUGGUAAAAGGUACAUUGCAGUACCUGUAGAAGUGGGCCUAAUCUAAAGUCUUAUGUAACAUCCAGCACGCAGACAAGCCAACUGUAACUGAGUUUAACAGAGUCUAUUUGUUUUGUUUAUUUAUUUUGUAUUUUGGGUGCAUUAUUUUUGUCUGAGCUGGGGUUGAGUGAUUGGGAUGGUUGAGUCAACUUUCACUAACUCUGAUCAGGCCAUUAAUUGUUUUCUUUCCCUGUUUAACUCUGUUGCAGAUAAAACAUUUGCAUACAAAAAAGUAAGAGUAAAAGCCCGACGUUAUCAUUGGUAUAUUCAUGGGGUGGCGGGUAGCCUAGUGGUUAGAGCGUUGGACUAGUAAAUGAAAGGUUGCAAGAUCGAAUCCCCGAGCUGACAAGAUGAAAAUCUGUCGUUCUGCCCAUGAACAAGGCAGUUAACCCACUCUUCCUAGGCUGUCAUUGAAAAUAAGAAUUUGUUCUUAAAACCUCUAUGGGCUAGGUGGGACGCUUGCGUCCCAGCCACUUUAAGCCUGUGGCGCGAUUUUCAAAACCUUAAAAAUCCUAUUACUUCAAUUUCUCAAACAUAUGACUAUUUUACAGCUAUUUAAAGACAAGACUCUCGUUAAUCUAACCACACUGUCCGAUUUCAAAAAGGCUUUACAACGAAAGCAAAACAUUAGAUUAUGUCAGCAGAGUACCAAGCCAGAAAUAAUCAGACACCCAUUUUUCAAGCCAGCAUAUGUCACCAAAACCCAGAAGACAGCUAAAUGCAGCACUCACCUUUGAUGAUCUUCAUCAGAUGACAACCCUAGGACAUUAUGUUAUACAAUACAUGCAUGUUUUGUUCAAUCAAGUUCAUAUUUAUAUCAAAAACCAGCUUUUUACAUUAGCAUGUGACGUUCAGAACUAGCAUACCCCCCGCAAACUUCCGGGAAUUCGCUAACAUUUUACUAAAUUACUCACGAUAAACGUUCACAAAAAGCAUAACAAUUAUUUUAAGAAUUAUAGAUACAGACCUCCUCUAUGCACUCGAUAUGUCCGAUUUUAAAAUAGCUUUUGGUGAAAGCACAUUUUGCAAUAUUCUAAGUACAUAGCCCAGGCAUCACGGGCUCGCUAUUUAGACACCCGGCAAGUUUAGCACUCACCAUAAUCAUAUUUACUAUUAUAAAAGUUUGAUUACCUUUUGUUGUCUUCGUCAGAAUGCACUCCCAGGACUGCUACUUCAAUAACAAAUGUUGGUUUGGUCCAAAAUAAUCCAUCGUUAUAUCCGAAUAGCGGCGUUUUGUUCGUAUGCGUUCCAGACACUAUCCGAAAUGGUAAAGAAGUGUCGCGCGCAUGGCGCAAUUCGUGACAAUAAAAUUCUAAAUAUUCCAUUACCGUACUUCGAAGCAUGUCAACCGCUGUUUAAAAUCAAUUUUUACGCCAUUUUUCUCGUAGAAAAGCGAUAAUAUUCCGACAGGGAAUCUCCUUUUCGGCAAACAGAGGAAAAAAUCGCAAAGGCGGGGGCGGUCGGGUCACGCGCAUAAGCCCAGAGUCCCUUGAUCGGCCACUUGAGAAAGGCGAUAAUGUGUUUCAGCCUGGGGCUGGAAUGACGACAUUCUGUUUUUUCCCGGGCUCUGAGAGCCUAUGGAAGACGUGGGAAGUGUCACGUUAGAGCAGAGAUCCUUAGUAAAAGAUAGAGAUGGAAAAGAAGUUCAAGAAAUGGUCAGACAGGCCACUUCCUGUAAAGGAAUCUCUCAGGUUUUGACCUGCCAUUUGAGUUCUGUUAUACUCACAGACACCAUUCAAACAGUUUUAGAAACUUUAGGGUGUUUUCUAUCCAUAUGUAAUAAGUAUAUGCAUAUUCUAGUUACUGGGUAGGAGUGGUAACCAGAUUAAAUCGGGUAUGUUUUUUAUCCAGCCGUGUCAAUACUGCCCCCUAGCCCUAACAGGUUAUUAACUGACUUGCCUAGUAAAAAAAUGAAUUGUUUGAGAAAUACAGAAAUUGGCAGUCCUUCAGAUAUUUGACGAAUAGAUGUCUUUCCCUGGUUAAAAAAGCAAAAUCAACACAUUUCUUGAAUUGUGUAUCAGAGAGUGGUGGUAAUCCAGCCAAUUUCUGGAAAGUGGUCAAAUAUUUGAAACAAAACUCCACCCCCUCAUUGCCCCAGCAGGUUUUGACAGCCUCUGGUCCAAUUCUAGACCAAAUGGAAAUUAGUGAUGAUUUUAAUAAAAAUUUUGCUUCAGCUAGCUACCUGUUUGAAAGGAUAAUCUCUGAAAGUUCAUAUCAUACAACAGAGAGAGUCAUUUAGUCACCUCAGAAAAGAUUGGAGAAAAUGAUGCACUAACAGACUCAUUUUCAUUUCAACCCUUUGAUGUCGGUGAUGUACUAAGUGUUUGCUAAAGAUUGAUGUAAAAGCAGCCGGCCGCGACCGGGAGACCCAUGGGGCGGCGCACAAUUGGCCUAGCGUCGUCCAGGUUAGGGGAGGGUGUGGCCGGCAGGGAUAUCCUUGUCUCAUCGCGUACUAGUGACUCCUGUGGCGGGCCGGGCGCAGUGCACGCUGACAUGGUCGCUAGGUGUAUGGUGUUUCCUCUGACACAUUGGUGCGGCUGGCUUCCGGGUUGGAUGGGCAUUGUGUCAAGAAGCAGUGCGGCUUGGUUGGGUUGUGUUUCGGAGGACGCACGGCUCUCAACCUUCGCCUCUCCCGAGUCCGUACGGGAGUCGCAGUGAUGAGACAAGACUGUAACUUCUACCAAUUGGAUACCACGAAAUUGGGGAUAAAAAGGGGGUUAAAAAAGAAAGAUUGAUGUAAAAAAAAACCUAGGGGCUGAUUCACAUGAUCCUUUCUUACUGCAGCUCUCUGACCCACUUAUUGCAGAACCACUGACCUGUAUUUUUUACUUGACAAUUGCCCUCCCACUACAUAAAGGACUAGAUCCUUCUGAUUUAGUUUACUACCGUCCAAUUACCAAAUUAUUUUUAACGUCUCACUCUAUUCUUAAUACAUUUUAUUUAAUAAAUAAAAAAAAUAAUAAUGCAUUUAAUGAUGCUACCUAUACGAAGACAAUGGGCCAAUGAUUGAAUGGUAUACAGGAUUAGGGGAAGUAGUAACAGAAAGUAAUUGUGAGGAAAGCCCUAAUAGUAAUUGAUGACUCCUAAUGUGCUAGUAGUAAUGUAGCAUGUGUUAAACCAAUGGUGCAUGAACAUGGGCCCCCAAUCGAAGAGAGUUGGCAGCACUGCCAUCAUCACCCCACAACUAUAGAGUGUGAAUACUGCUGUCAGUAGAAUGUACAUUGGCUAGUCAGGAUUAAUGUAUGUCAGUCAUUAUUGCCCUAUAUGGGAAAAAACACAUGAUUUCAAAUCUGGAAAAUCACAUGAUUUCACAUGUGAAAUUUCCACGUUUCGCAAAUGCUGACCAGUAACUAAACUGUAUGGAUAAUAGAAAGAUCAGUCUACCAUUCUAGUGACAUGGACAAUAGAGACUCCUUUUCUCUCCUAUAAAUUGAGUAGCUAAUUAUGUCUUAAGAACAAAAUAUUAUAUAUAUAUAUUUUUUUUUCAAUGAUUGUGAUUUAAGUUAGUAGGAAGUCAAAAUACUAUAGAGGUAUAAAAAAGGAAAAAAAGAAAAGCAAAUCAUGAGUAAGUGCACAACCUUUCCCUUUCCCUGUAACCACAAUUAGUAUUUAACAGUAGUAAACCAUAAGUCAUAGAUAGAGGAUGGUAAGGCAAAACAGUAACUACACUUUAUGGACAAUAGAAAGGUCAUUCUACCAUUCCCGUGACAUGGACAAUAAAGACUAAUUUUCUCUCCUAUAAAUUGAGUAGCUAAUCAUGUCUUAAAAACAAAAUACAAUAAUAUUUGUUUAUCUUGAAAAAAUAAUUGUGAUUGAAGUUAGGAGGAAAUCAAAAUACUCUAAGGUGUAGUUAGUAGUGUUGCAAACAUUAAAACAGCUAUAUCCAGUUUAAACCUCAGCAGUGAACAGUAAGGUUGAGUCAUGGGGAGUAGAUUGGUGACUUGAUGUUAGAAUGUUCCACCCGAGUCAUGUUUUACAUAUUAUCUGAUGAAUAAACUUGUACAGCAGGUAUGUCCAAAAUUAAAUUAAGAUAACAGCCUUGAUCGAUUAUGUGAAAACUGUGGGGGAAAAAAGCUAUAGUCUAAUAUGUAUAUGGAAUUAUAUUGGUGCAGGCUCCUGAUUUUGCCAUAUACCUACAGUAGCAACACCCUUAAACUGUGACUAUGUUCAUGAUGUAACAUGACCUCAUGUGCCAUGAUGCUCAGGGAGAUUAACAGACACUAAACCAUGUGAAUAAGGCUGGGAUUCAAUCAUUGCAGAUUUUCUGCUACUUCUCUCUGGUUGUUUAUGCUGUAUCACAACCCUGUGGACUCAAAUAAUGACAUUUUAUUGACAUUGUCAUUGGAUAUUGAUAUAGUAUGAAGCCACUCCGGUCCUAACUUUCCUUGGGUGAAUACUAACUGUAGUUGCCAAUAUGAAUUGUUUGCUAUUUUGUGGACUUGUCCAUGAUGCAUUAUCCACAAUGAUUGAAUUCUGCCUAAAUGAGCUUUGUUGAUAUACUUACAGUAUAUCCAUAUUUUUGGCACAAGAGGGCAGUGUCUUGCUUUAGAAAGAGCGAUAGAGAGAGACAGAGACAGGGGUUAAGGUAGAUAUCAGGCAUGUCAACAUAGAUUUUAUGGCAAAAUAUUACACUUUUGAUUGAUAUGAAUAUCAAUGAAGAAUAAAGUCACACACUCCAUCGUACUCUAUUGUAGGCCUACUCAAUGUUUGUUUGAAAAUAGUGCCUUAUCAAUUGUUUUUCUUUUGCAUGAUCAAUAUCCCACCCUUCAUCUCCCUAAGGCCUACUUUUAUUGGCUUUUAAAUAUAUAUAUUUUAUUGUAUUGUGUUUACUUAUUUUGAUGGAAUGUGCAUCUUGUCAAAUGUGUCUUCAGUUCCGAUACGUCUAAUAAAUAUUCCAGUAUCUAAGUAUCAUUAAAUUGCAUGAACACUACAUUUGCACUCAUCUUUAUAAUUGAAUUAUAUGAAUUUGACUUCACUGAAAGUUGAAUGGUUCUGUGUAAUACAGUGUGAAAGGGGAACUGAGAGGGAACACCCUGUAUGAAGGACCUGAUUUGAUGUACAUAGAGUGGGUUCCCCCUCUAACAUUGGGGAAGACCCCCCUCCCACACUCUACACCAUACGCUGUUCUCUAUCCCUACACAGCAUGGUACAGGUUGAAUCACACACCCUUUCAUAUGGUAUAUCUUAAGAUACUACUGUAUAGUGCAUAGCAGUGAGCUACUGGCUCAGUAGCUAAGUGCUCGAUUCAAUCCAUAGAGCUGAAGACCUUUGCUACAUCGCAAUAUACAUUUAAAAGCAAUGUUCCCGCGUUUGUGGAGACUAAACACUGCAUAUGUUAGCUCAAUUGGACAUAAAAAAAAAAAACGUUUAAAAAUGUAACCAGGCAAGUCAGUUAAGAACAAAUUCUUAUUUACAAUGACUGCCUACCCCGGCCAAACCCGGGCGACGCUGGGCCAAUUGCGCACCGCCCUAUGGGACUCCCAAUCACGGCCAAAAGUGGUGCAGCCUGGAUUCAAACCAGGUAGUGCAGUGACACCUCUUGCACUGAGAUGCAGUGUCUUAGACCACUGCGCCACUCGGGAGCCCCAUUACCUGAUCUCCAGUACUACGGAUUGAAUCGAGCCCAAGAACCUUGAACUAAACAGAAACACUAACUUAGAAAUUACCCAGAACUACUCAGGACUAGCCAAAACUUUUAUAUUCCCUUUGUUUUUUACUUUUAUACCAUGAAUUAUGUGCACUGUAUCUACUGUAUGUAUAGGUUAUGCAAGUAUAAAGAUGUAUAUUCAUGUGUACCUUUGACGCUGUAAUAAUCUGAACUAAAUCAAUUUCCUAACAGCUUCGGUUGGUACGGCAAUAAAGUCUUGAAUCUUGAA